UAUUAUAUUAAUCUCUGUUCUAUAAUUAUUACCUGUUCUAUACUUAUUACCUAUGGAAAGCCAGGCCAUACAGAAUUAGGAGCUGAAGGGACACGGUGAGAAGUGACCAGAAGGCAAGAGUGUGAGCUCUCUAUCAAGCCUGGACAAGGGUCACUAGAGGGCUCCUUGGUCUAGUGGUAACGCCAGUGCCUGGGAAAGCACCCAUUACUUAGCAGACCUUGGUCUAGCUGUAGUGCCAGCGCCUGGGAAGGCACCCAUUACUUAGCAGACCGGGAAAGGGUGUCUCCCUUUCCCCAGGGAAGUUAGAGAACGCUCUGCUUCACCACCUCUUGUGGAAGGCCUGACAUCAGCCAGGACUGCCCGCAGCUAUCCAGAGGCCUAAAUGUCUCCCUGUGAUGCUGUGCUUCAGUGAUCACAUCCUGGUCCACUUUCAUAUUCCGCUCUGUGCACCUGGCCCUGCCUUCUAGAUAGCAGUAGCAGAAUUAGUGAAAGUAUUAAAGUCUUUGAUCUUUCUGAGAAAUGCAUAGAAGAAAUAAUGACAUAAGCUGUUCCCUCUCUCUCUCUCUCUGCCUCAGCUACCAAAUAGGUAAGGGCCUCCUGUCCGGUGGACACGUGACUCGCAUGACCUUACCUAUCAUUGGAGACGACUCACGCUCCUUACCCUGCCCCCCUGCCUUGUAUACAAUAAAUAGCAGCGCAGUCAGGCAUUCGGGGCUACUACCAGUCUUCGCGUCUUGGUGGUAGUGGUCCCUCAGGCCCAGCUCUCUUUUCUUCUAUCUUCUUGUCUUGUGUCUUUAUUUCUACAAUCUCUCGACUCCGCAUACGAAGAGAAAAACCCAUAGGCCCUGUAGGGCUGAACCCUACAUUGUGGUAAGGAAAGAAUGUCACUGUCUGACAGGCCCAGGAAACUCAAGAUAUUUGGGACCUUGAGAAGAGAGGAAUUCAUCCAAUUCAUACAGAUCUUGAUGAAAAGGAGGGAGAUGAGCAAAGAAAAGUAGCUCGGAGAAGUCUUAGCUGUGUGAAGUCUGAAAAAUUCAUCAGGCCCAGAGAGAUGUGAGCACGAAACUCCAGCGACCCUCGCGCCUACACCCACACCCUGCCCGGGCAAUUGUUUAAAGGCAUUUCGUUCCUGUUUCCUGCCUCCCUCACUUUGUUCACGUUUCUGGGAUUUGUGACACAAAGAACAAUGUACAGCUAGUCAGUAACUUAUGUUAUUUUAUCAUAAAUUCUUGGUAAACAACUUA